rnacentral:rRNA from 1 species
AUUGAACGCUGGCGGCAGGCCUCACACAUGCAAGUCGAACGAGUGGCGGACGGGUGAGUACUGUCUGGGAAACUGCCUGCUGGAGGGGGAUAACUACUGGAAACGGUAGCUAAUACCGCAUACCAUCGGAUGUGCCCAGAUGGGAUUAGCUAGUAGGUGGGGUAAAGGAUCACCUAGGCGACGAUCCCUAGCUGGUCUGAGAGGAUGACCAUCCACACUGGAACUGAGAAACGGUUCAGACUCCUACGGGAGGCAGCAGUGGGGAAUAUGGCACAAUGGUCGCAAGCCUGAUGCAGCCAUGCCGGGUGUAUGAAGAAGGCCUUCGGGUUGUAAAGUACUUUCAGCGGGGAGGCGUUACCCGCAGAAGAAGCACCGGCUAACUCCGUGCCAGCAGCCGCGGUAAUUC